rnacentral:rRNA from 1 species
GAUGAACGCUAGCGGCAGGCUUAACACAUGCAAGUCGAGGGGCAGCGUGAUGGUUAGCAAUAACCAUUGACGGCGACCGGCGCAAGGGUGCGUAACGCGUGAGCAACUUACCCUCAUCAGGGGUAUAACCGGUGGAAACGCCGACUAAUCCCCCAUAGUCUGUUACGGAGGCAUCUCUGUUACAGUAAAGAAAUUCGGAUGAGGAUAGGCUCGCGUGACAUUAGCUAGUUGGCGGGGUAACGGCCCACCAAGGCGACGAUGUCUAGGGGUUCUGAGAGGAAGGUCCCCCACACUGGAACUGAGACACGGUCCAUACUCCUACGGGAGGCAGCAGUGAGGAAUAUUGGUCAAUGGGCGGAAGCCUGAACCAGCCAUGCCGCGUGCGGGAAGGAGGCCCUAUGGGCUGUGAACCGCUUUUGCCUGGGGGCAAUAAGGGCGUCGCGCACGUCCGAUGAGAGUACCAGGGGAAUAAGCAUCGGCUAACUCCGUGCCAGCAGCCGCGGUAAUACGGGGGAUGCGAGCGUUAUCCGGAUUCAUUGGGUUUAAAGGGUGCGUAGGCUGUGCGUCAAGUCAGGGGUGAAAUUCCGGGGCUCAACUCCGGGGCUGCCCUUGAUACUGUCGCGCUGGAGUGCGGAUGCCGCCGG